AUAACCUCCAUGAAAUAUUUCUGUAUCUCAUGCUGGCACUUAGAGAUGAAUGGCUGAACUUGCCUCUUGGGCAUCAGUUUCUACUAUUGCAUCUAUUAUUUAUUUGUAGGUGAAGAUGCAAAUCGAGUGCAGCAUGUAAUCAAGCUGUCAAUCUCAGCUUAGAAAUGCUUAGAAAUCGCCAAAUUGGACUUUCAAUAUAUGUACAUUUGUAUGUACAGGUAUGUACAAAGAUUUACUCCUAGUUUACACACAUUUUCACAUCGAUUCAAACAACCGUCGCAAAGCAAUGUAUUGACAUGAUACGUUUUGAACCGACGCCAGCCAUACCGUUUACUAGAUCGUGAUUGCCGAAGAACAGAUAGAAAUCAGUUGACGCUAGCGGAUACGCGAAUUGAUCAACUAUGGUGUUUAUGAUGAACGGAACUGAUUUGAUUGUGUUUUUGGGACGAGUGUUUCUUCUGAUUUAAUCAUACUCGUUGGAUCUCUCUGGUCAUACAUACUUGUAAGUAUGUACAAUGUAACAACAUCUUCACAGUCUCUGCAUCCGCAUCGUAUAUCGUUACACAUAUGCUUCUUUGAAUAACAGUCUCAAAUUAUGACUCAACCUUUUCAUAUUCAGUUACAACUAAUAUAUAUAUAUUCAUAUAUACUACUAUGAUGAAAGUGAAA